rnacentral:rRNA from 1 species
AUGGCGAAGAAAGUGCAGGUGAUCGCUACGCUCCUGACCCUGAACCUUCUCUUCUUCACCUUCGCCAACGCCACUGGCCGUCCCUGCCCUCCUGGCGGGGGCAGCGGCGGGGGAGGGAGCGUCUGUUUGAAUGGUCUCAUUCUCGUGAUGCUAUACUUUGGUACUGGCAUUGCACUAUUUGUAUCGACUUCCCUACUUUUGUAA